rnacentral:rRNA from 1 species
GAUGAACGCUGGCGGCGUGCCUAAUACAUGCAAGUCGAGCGAACAGACGAGGCGCUUGCUCCUCUGACGUUAGCGGCGGACGGGUGAGUAACACGUGGAUAACCUACCUAUAAGACUGGGAUAACUUCGGGAAACCGGAGCUAAUACCGGAUAAUAUAUUGAACCGCAUGGUUCAAUAGUGAAAGACGGUUUUGCUGUCACUUAUAGAUGGAUCCGCGCCGCAUUAGCUAGUUGGUACGGUAACGGCUUACCAAGGCAACGAUGCGUAGCCGACCUGAGAGGGGGAUCGGCGACACUGGAACUGAGACAGGGUCCAGACUCCUACGGGAGGCAGCAGUAGGGAAUCUUACGCAAUGGGCGAAAGCUGGACGGAGCAACGCCGCGUGAGUGAUGAAGGUCUUCGGAUCGGAAAACUCUGUUAUUAGGGAAGAACAAAUGUGUAAGUAACUAUGCACGUAUUGACGGUACCUAAUCAGAAAGCCACGGCUAACUACGUG